rnacentral:lncRNA from 1 species
UUUAAGGGAGAUGAUUAUAGAAUAAGAUCACGACGUGGUCUAUUUAAGUUAUAAAAGAAAGAUGGUCUAUAAUGUUUGAAUAAUUAUAGCUUGAUGCUAUGAAGGUAAUGUACUAUGAAAUAGUACAAGAUAAACUCAUGAGGAGUUAUAGAUAAUGUGAUACGAGGAAUUCGUAUCGAGCAAAGAACAAGUUAAGAGUAAGAUAGAG